rnacentral:tRNA from 1 species
AGGGAUAGAGCUCAGGGUAGAGCACUUGCCUGGCAUGCAAGUGACCUGGGUUCAGCCCCCAGCAGCCCCC